GGGUAGUCCAUAUUGAAAAGUCCGGUGUGGUCAGUCGCAUUUUACUGCUUGCUAGCAGCUACACAGGAUAGCGCACAAUACACUUUAGUGCAAAGGAUGUUACUUAGUUCAAACGCUCCUAUAGAGGGCAAUACAAUUAGCACGAUUGAGGAAUCAACAUUGGAUCGAUGCCUCGAAUCUCUUCUAAUUUCGCUCGACGGUACCGACUAUCUUGGCUUUGGUCAGGGCCAGUGUGUACAGGAACUCGUGGAGCCAUCGCAAAAUCACCCGGGAAGCAAUGGGGAGAGCGAUACCGUGUUAAACAACAGAGAUAGCGAACGUAGCGUCUCUUUGUCAAGGGAUUACCCUCUAGCUGCAACAGAACAGGCGCCUGAGGAAUUAACACUCAGUUAUGAACCGUUGAGCAGUGCGCAGCUGCAGGGAAGCCUGGAGCACCUACAACCCCCUAUUAGUUCAGUGAAUUCGACUUAUCUAUCGAUUAGGCGUGACCAAGUAGCUGGGUUUCAAACUAUUACCUACGGACAGUGUGAGAGUCUUGACCACGUAAUGGUGCCAGAACAAAACGGAGUUGACAGCCUUGGGCUAAGUGAUCGAAAUUUCUCCCAGGGAGUUGGUACUUCCUUAGGAGAGCUUGAGACUGAUGCCUAUUUAGGUUAUAUUUUCUCCAAUCAACAAAAUCAACAGAGCGGGCCACUUCCGGAGUUCCCUACGUUGUUUGUCAAAUCGGAACCAUCACCUGAUUCGUACACGAACGGAACGUCACCUGGAUAUUUUAGCGAAGAGUGCAGUAUUGGCGGGCCAGACUAUUGCACUGUAACCGCACCGGAACAGCAGCAUUGCAACGCGGAUGACCCUAACAAUGAGUUUGUCGUUCUUGGAGUUGGUUUAGAAACUUUAUCCGGUUUUCGAGGCGAAGUUGAUCAGGCUAUGGGUAUGCAAGACAUUAAACAAGAACAGGUCGUACCUACCGUCAUUGAUGAGCAAACAGCUAUAUUUCUCCAACAGAGCAAAUUUCUGAGAGAAGAACGCAUCCCCCCGAUUACCCGCGUACCCCGUAAGUACGUACGCCAUUCAAAACCUAAUGAUGCGGAUAAAGUUUUCUAUUGCACGUAUGAGGGCUGCGCUAAGGUCUAUUCGAAAAGUUCUCAUCUCAAAGCCCACUUACGGCGACAUACAGGUGAGAAGCCGUUUGCCUGUCAAUGGCCCGGCUGUUGUUGGCGAUUCAGCCGUUCAGACGAACUCGCUCGACAUCGACGUUCACACUCCGGAAUCAAACCAUAUGAAUGCUCAAUAUGUGAGAAGCGUUUUUCACGAUCCGAUCACCUCACAAAGCAUUUAAAGGUACACAAGAAGAAUCAGAGUGGCUAUAUUCCUCGACGGAGUUACAGUCGCCAAAAGGUGAUGCCUACCGUGCCUUCGGUGACAUUAACUGAAAACCACGACCUGUUGGAAACCACCGCAAGCCAGAUGCUAAUUUACACGUAGGCAUCAAUUGCAUUUUGACUGUUCUACAUCAUUGUGCUAGUGCCAGUAGUUGAUGAUCUGUGUCACUAGAAUGACUGAAACAUACAGAACAAUAUUUUAUUGCGUUGAGCUUUUAGCAUUUGUAUUGUUACGGAAGUGGGGAUCCCUUCUUCAAAUAAAAUACGAAGAGUAACUACUAUCGGAUCCGCUGACACUACAAGAUAAUACGCCAGAUAAACAGGCCAUCGAUAUGACAGCCUAUGGAGAAUGAGAGGACGACUCAGGUGGUUGUGUCCCGUUGCUACCAACAUAUGCUAUUGGAAAGCCUGCAUUGCAUGUGUACAGCCAAAAAACGCACGUAACAGGCAUCUCCGUUCGCCGGUCAACAACGUAUUUAUUUAUUCAUCAAUUAAUUUAUUUACAUGCAAACAUAAAAACAUUUAUUUCACCUUAGAUUGUACGAAUUUUCCACCAUUGUCACUGUCUAAACAAUUCAGAACGAUCUUAAAUUAAUUAUUUGAUGGCCAUGUUGUAAUUUUUAGAAACAUGAUUACAGGAAAAGAAACAUGGUACAGGCUAACGCUAUGGCAUUAAAACAGAAAUUUUCCUAAUUGUCAUCUGUAGCAAGCCAGAUACACUCAUAACUUAUUAUAAUGGUCGUACUACUUACGUAUUGACGUUUCUUCCCCAAGCAGCAAAAAUAUAGCUAGAAUUUGCUUCCUACCAUGUUUAGCUUUUCCAUUGCUCUCAUACUUUUCUGUAUAAGUUUCACGAAUUUACUCGGGUAGCGUAGGAGGCGUGUGGUUUAGCUGGCGUCUUGGCGUGAGCAGUCAUUAUCGUUACAAUAAAACACAGCAUCAAAUGCAAAUUUUAUUCAAUGAGAAGACGAAUCUGCUAUGCCAACACGAACUACACAUAAUAUUGUAUUUUGAAAGACGCUGUACUUUUCUCAAAAUAUCGGAACCCUGAAACAUCCCACCGAUAUGUAGGUCUUGAGUGCACCACCGUAUCGUGUACAUCACCUAGCUCGUAACAUCAUUGAACUGCACGAAAUAUUUUACAUGCCGUUAAAUUCAAUAAGCUAAUGAACUCACUAUAAACACUUUAGCCUACUCAUCUUCAUGAAACUAAAGCCCAACUAUUAUCCCUAUUCUACUGCUUCUUUGAAAAUGGUGUAUUCCAGACGAUCGUUACGGCAAGUCAACCAGUGUGGUAUAUUAUACUGAGAAGAACUAUAGCAUUAUAUGACCCAAGCUAACUGUGACACGCGGAUACUAAAUAAUAUUAUAGUGAAAAAAAUAAUUCGAGCGAGAGUUUAAAAGUGAAUAAAUAAAACGUCAUCUUAUGUCAUAACUAAAAGUCGUCCAGAAUGUUUGUCAUCAUUUAUCCUCUCUAGGCGGAAUGAGCCCCGAAAAUAGGUAUGUAGACAAUGGAGCAAUGACAAAGGUACAGCCAAAAAAGAAAGAAUGGACGAUAAGCUAUCGAUAUCGAUAAAAGAGAAAGCUUCGA